ensembl:lncRNA
GUUGCGUGCCACCCAGCCACAUCAAACAGCAGAGGAGGCGUUGUUUGCUGUGUUGCUAUGUGUGUGAGAAACAGAGACUGUAUUUGCAUUGAAGUGCUGCAAGAUGAUGCUGCUCAGCUGCUCUAUACUGUUGCUCUGUCUUUCCGCGACUGCAGAGGACAUUGUAGUUUGGCGAGAGUCUGGUGAGAACGUCACCUUGGAGUGUUCCUUGGCAAAAUGUCCCAGCAGCAUUGACGGGUUUGUUGGGAUGUAUCUGUAUCACGAUUUAAAAAAGUGUGCAGAGGUGCUUUACUAUCACUCCAGCCCAAAAUAUGAUAAAAUCACCCCACGAAUCGGAUAUUUGGAGAGGGUUGAGAUGAAAGGAUCUCUGAAGAAGAACACCGUCACCAUCAGCAAUCUGACCGUGGGUGAUUCUGGUAUCUACAGAUGUGUCUACAGAGGAAAUGUUGCAACUCAACUUAAAUGCAACGUCUACAAUCUUUUUGUGCUAGGAGUUCAACCAUGUCCCAGAUCGGAGGAAGAGCUUCGAGACAAUGUCAGUGAGACAAGUCCUCCACUGGUGUUAAUCAUCGUUGCCUCCUGUGCCAUCAGCAUAAUUGCCACCGUGAUCGUCAUCCUGCUGAUCUUCAGGGUGAAACAAUGGACUGGAGGCAGAAGAAGUGCAAGGACUGCCCCCAAUGAUUGUGUGUACGAAGUCAUGACCAAGAACGGCUUCAACCGUGUAGCAGCUCCUGAGGUGCAAUUGCCAGACGUGUAUGGUUUUGCUCGGCAAAUAGAAAAAUAGAGUACUUUUUAUUUGAUGGAUGACUAUUUUCUUCUUUGUGGCUGGUUCAAUUUUUCAACAGUUUUUGCUGGAUUGUGAAGAAAUGUAAAAUAUAUCAAUUUUUAAAAUUGAAACCUUUACCAGAAACAAUUUAUUUGUUGUUGAAAUAUCACAGGAUUCUAUUCAUUGUUAAAAUCAUUAGUACUGAUUGUGGUGUUAACAUUUAAGCAUUUGAAAUUUGAUUGGUGAACAGGCAGUGGGAGAGCUGUGAGUACACAUAUGACAGUACUUGCGGUCACACACCAUGUUUUUAUCCAGGAAUUAAAAAAAAAAGUAAAGGUGAUAAAUAUUGUAAUUGUGUAAUGUGUAUAAUUAUAUAAUAUGGUUUUAUACACUGUGUCUGUAAAUUGUGAUACAAUUUUUAAUGGUUUAAUGUGUGUUUAAUUUUGUGACUACUGGCCGUGGUGCGUAUGAUUUUUGCUUCAUGCUGCUGUUUGUGAUGCCGUUUCUAAACUGUUGUAAGAUUUUAUCUAUGGUGUUUGCGUGUGGAUGCAAACAAAUUGAAAAAAUUGCCAAUAAAAGAAAAAGCAGAUAAACUGAUUAAUUUUUUUCUGUACAACCCUAAUGCUUGCGGGAAACAUGUUUGUCAUGAAUGGGCAGGAAGUGUGUACGCUAAUACAAACCACAGGCAUUACAAAAACAAUGGUUUGACGGUGAGACACGCAGGUAACGGUUUACACUGUUCAUUCUGUUUACACAGUUCACACGUUUAGGGGUUUGACAGUGUGUUUUGUUAAAAUAUAUUAUUUGACAGAAUGAAUAAUAUUAUAUUCAUUCACAUGCUUUGACUAUAACGUAGAUCCGACAACCUUUUGUUCUUUUACACUUCAUGAUCAACCAAUGACCCAAAUAACAUGGGGGGAGGGAAUUGGUGCAGUGGAAUCAGCAAGACGGAGACCGUAGAUGUCUUAAGCAGAAAUAUUUAUUACAG